AGAAAAUGUAAAGUCUUGGAAGACAUGAUGCUUUCAGGACUGAUUGUGAUCCUGCAAGAAAACUGAGCUCAAACUGUGAUGCUUCAAUCAAAGCCUCAAGCUGGAGCCUACAGUGUUUACCUGCCUUUGUUCUCCAGUAGGUGGCGCUGCCAUUCCCUUAAAUACACAGAGUGAGUAAAGGGGCCAUGUAUUUCACCCUGUCAUCUCAAAGUGCCAAAGUGUCCUCUGGUUAUUUCCACUUCUCCAGUCAAUCCACUAUGAAUCUGUAAGUUGACUGCCUGUAUAACCCACAUGCUGUCACCUUAUAUUCUGCUCCUACACAUGAUUUUAAUGUUUAUUAUCUUGGCUUUCUUCCUGUUGAAGUUGAGCCCACCUAUGGCUGCAGCCUAAUCUAGAAAAUGAAAGUCAUCAAUCCUCCAUCAAGGGAGUUACACCUAGAAAUGUGCAUUACACAGAUGUAUGCUGGUGUCUUAGGCCAGCGGUGUGCACCCUUUUACCAACUCUGCCCUGAGCUCCCUGGUCAUCCAAUCCGUCUCCCUCCACACUGGUAUUCCAACUCCAUCAAAUUUGUUUCCCGUGACGACAGGCCUGACAUUUUGCCCUGCAUGUGUCCGAUCUAAAUGCCAGUUCGGCAGACCAGAAUAAGGAAGCCUGUGAAAUGAUCCUGGCAUUUGCAGCGCUGCUUCUCUCUGUGGUCUCUUUCAUACUUUGCUCAGUGAAAAGGAUAACACUGUUUCAACUGCAGGGUGUAAACCUGGAUCACAGCCAGAUGUUACAACCCCACAGCCCUCUCUCUCGGCGGGUUCACACCGUGACCUCGUCCCCCUGCUCCAGCUGGCAGUUUGGCAGCAGAUCUCCAGGCUUCUGCCGACUCAGAGCCCUCGGUGACCUGGGGAGAGCUGGACAUCCCGAGGAACGGGCGAACUGGGUGAACU